CUGUCUCAAGUACUGAAUUCUUCACCAGGACAACUGAAGUAAUAAAAACUGACUCAGCACUGAAAAUAUCUCCCCUUCUUUCAGAGCUAAUAGUCCUCUGUACUGCCUAAGUACAUUUUUUUCUUAAAUUGUCACUAGGUGCUUUGGAGAAGCCUGAACACUUUAAAUCUCAUUCUUAAAAAUGCAACUCUUUAGAGUCCUCAGAGUAAUUAAGGGAUGUCGAAGCUGAGGGCUCCAAGAGUCGAACAGGGUGCUGAUAACAAUGACAUGAGGGCAGCAGGAAUGAACUGGGGCUCCCUCCAGCAAGUCGGGACACAGACUAUCCGCUAGACAGACACCAUCCAAACAGAGGACUCAGGGCCCGCGCUGCGGCAGAGUAGUCCCGGCUGCUCCUCUUCCGAUCCAGAUCCCUGCUACGGCCUGGGAAAGCAGUGGAGGAUGGCCCAAGUCCUUGGGCCCCUGCACCCAUGUGGGAGAUCAGCAGAAGCUCCUGGCAUUGAUCAGCCCCAGCUCCAGCUGUUGGGGAGUAAAUCAGAGGAUGGAAGACCUUCCUGUCUCUCCCUCUCUGUCUGUAACUCUUUCAAAUAAAUAAAUAAAAAUCUUUAAAAAAAAA